UUUCAAUUCACUGAAGAUUGCAAGAGAGGAACAGUUCGCUAAAAUGGCGAUAGGAUUCCUGAUUUUGACCGGCUUGCUGGCCUUCGGCACGUACUGGACCACCAGGUACCUGAUCUCGGCGGCGGAUCAUAGCACUACCACGACUACUGUCUCGCCAAACGACGACAGUAUACUACGCCUGAUGUUUAACAAGACUGGUUGACAUCAACAUCAGCUGACGCGCGUCAACUUACAUACUUAGCGGACUCGCGAGGAAGACAUUUAUAAUUGAAACAAAUUA